UUAUUAUGACGAGCAGUAAUACACUGAUAGAAAAUACAUAGUGUAUCAAACAACACCAUCAUUCUCAUUUUUACUAUGCCAUAAAAUGGUAACUAUGACCACCAUAUGUGGUUCCAUGUAAUGAAGAAUGGUAUCGACAACUAUAAUAGGAUAGUGAUUGAUAUAGUUACCCUUACCAUUCAACAUAGUCAUAUUAUUGGAAGACGCCAUUUUAUCGCAGCUUCUGAUACGAACUCCCUGAAUAUUUUUCAAAUUGAUCUUCAAUGAUUUGAAACAUUUUUCCUGUUUUACAAUGAGAAUAAGUGACGGAAACCGUCGAUGCCAUCCUACAAACUUAUUUCACCACUAGCCAAACUGCUCAGGCCGGAUGAAAAUGGACCCCAGCCACCCACUCCCGUUGCCGGAUUGUUAGCUCAGUUGCGUACGUAAUGCGAUCCCGGUCAACCAUUGUAACAUUUUCUUUAUAGAUCUUUGUCCAGCGAUGGCGAUCGCCAACGAUUCAAAUCGAAUCGAUAUCGAUCGCUAUCGAUAAACACUGACUGGUUGAUCGGGAAAGGAUGAGUGAUCCACAUAAAUACUGGCGAAUGAGACAUCCUGGCCUUAUUCAACACCGCAGAUUCGGAGUAUCGUACGCGAAUAAAUUUACAACUCCAGCUUUCACAAUGGGAUGGGAUGUCGGCGGAGGGAAGAUCAUUUAUUAAUGUAGGUACUGCUGCAUCCCAUUCGUGGCCGGCUGGUUCUUUUGAGCUAAGCAGUUCCUCAAGGUUUCUCUUCGAGCGGAUCCUGCACGGUAACGGAUGGACAAAAACUGCUGCCGUGCAUGCCAAAUCGUAAAUUUCAAAUGAAGGGAAGCGUUAUCGAUCAUCAUUUGAGUCAAUAGGAUUCACAAUAUAAAUAAUUAAAGCUUGAAGUGAGUAAAGAGGCACAAAUAUUUUAAAUUAAUAAAUCGCAAUUACAAAAUUA